rnacentral:rRNA from 1 species
AUUGAACGCUGGCGGCAGGCUUAACACAUGCAAGUCGAGCGAGUGGCGGACGGGUGAGUAAUGCCUGGGAAACUGCCUGAUGGAGGGGGAUAACUACUGGAAACGGUCGCUAAUACCGCAUACCCUCAGAUUUGCCCAGCUGGGAUUAGGUAGUAGGUGGGUUAAUGGCUCACCUAGGCGACGAUCCCUAGCUGGUCUGAGAGGAUGACGAGCCACACUGGAACUGAGACACGGUCCGGACUCCUACGGGAGGCAGCAGGGGGGAAUAUUGCACAAUGGGGGCAAGCCUGAUGCAGCCAUGCCGCGUGUAUGAGGAAGGCCUUCGGGUUGUAAAGUACUUUCAGCGGGGAGGCGUUACCCGCAGAAGAAGCACCGGCUAACUCCGUGCCAGCAGCCGCGGUAAUAC